UACGUAGGGCGCAAGCGUUGUCCGGAAUUAUUGGGCGUAAAGAGCUCGUAGGCGGCCUGUUACGUCUGCUGUGAAAUCCCGGGGCUUAACCCCGGGCGUGCAGUGGAUACGGGCAGGCUGGAGGCAGGCAGGGGAGAACGGAAUUCCCGGUGUAGCGGUGAAAUGCACAGAUAUCAGGAGGAACACCGGUGGCGAAGGCGGAUCUCUGGGCCAUUACUGACGCUGAGGAGCGAAAGCGUGGGGAGCGAACAGG
rnacentral:rRNA from 1 species